UCCCNGAUAGGCUUAGAGAUCAAGAAAGGGC
rnacentral:piRNA from 1 species